CCUACGGGUGGCAGCAGUGGGGGAUAUUGCACAAUGGGGGAAACCCUGAUGCAGCGACGCCGCGUGGGUGAAGAAGCGCCUCGGCGCGUAAAGCCCUGUCAGCAGGGAAGAAAAUGACGGUCACUGAAGAAGAAGCCCCGGCUAACUACGUGCCAGCAGCCGCGGUAAUACGUAGGGGGCAAGCGUUCUCCGGAUUUCCUGGGUGUAAAGGGGGCGCAGACGGCGAUGCAAGCCAGGAGUGAAAGCCCGGGGCCCAACCCCGGGACUGCUCUUGGAACUGCGUGGCUAGAGUGCAGGAGGGGCAGGCGGAAUUCCUGGUGUAGCGGUGAAAUGCGUAGAUAUCAGGAGGAACACCGGUGGCGAAGGCGGCCUGCUGGACUGCAACUGACGUUGAGGCCCGAAAGCGUGGGGAGCAAACAGGAUUAGAUACCCUAGUAGUC
rnacentral:rRNA from 1 species